UACGUAGGGGGCAAGCGUUGUCCGGAUUUAUUGGGCGUAAAGAGCGUGUAGGCGGCCAGGUAGGUCUGCUGUGAAAACUCGAGGCUUAACCUCGAGCUGUCGGCGGAAACCAUCUGGCUAGAGUCCGGAAGAGGAGAAUGGAAUUCCCGGUGUAGCGGUGAAAUGCGCAGAUAUCGGGAAGAACACCCGUGGCGAAGGCGGUUCUCUGGGACGGUACUGACGCUGAGACGCGAAAGCGUGGGGAGCGAACAGGG
rnacentral:rRNA from 1 species